rnacentral:lncRNA from 10 species
CCCACCUCGAAUUCCGCCUGCAGAGCUGAGACGAUGGCCAUGAAUGCUGCCACAAUCCCACCUCACGUGUGCACCUCGUAGUCACUACUUUUCCUCCAGACAUUUUCUCAAGCCAGAAGAAUGAGCACAGCCCACAUCUGAAGCAGCCUGAGAGGCUGGGCCUGCAGGGGAGAUACCGGCCCUAUGGAAGGCAGUUGGUGGGCAAAAGUCCGGUUUCUACGCUUUGAGGGGACACCUGUGGGGCACCCUGAGGCCCAGCCCUGCUGGCCUGCUGGCCUUUGGACUGGAGCUACACCAUCAGCUCUCGGAGGUCUCCACUCGCCAACUCACCCUGCAGAUCACGGAACUUGUCAGCCUCCAUAACUGCAGGAGCCAAUGCCUUAUAAUAAAAUCUCUUUCUCUUGUCUUUUCUCUUUCUCUCUCUCUAGAUAGAUAGAUGUAUGAAACAAGGAAGCAGAAAAGAAAGAAUGAUAGAAGAUAGACGAUAAAUAGAUAGAUAGAUGGAAAAAGGAGGAAGAAAAAAAAGG